AAAGCUCAAAUUUAAAAGCUGGCGGUCUUUGGCCGUCCGCAUUGUAAUCUAGAGAAGUGUUACCCGCGUUGGACCGUGUACAAGUCUCCUGGAAUGGAGCGUCAUAGAGGGUGACAAUCCCGUCUUUGACACGGACUCCCAAGGCUUUGUGGUGCGCUCUCAAAGAGUCGAGUUGUUUGGGAAUGCAGCUCUAAAUGGGUGGUAAAUUCCAUCUAAAGCUAAAUAUUGGCGAGAGACCGAUAGCGAA
rnacentral:rRNA from 1 species